GAUGAACGCUAGCGGCAGGCUUAAUACAUGCAAGUCGAGGGGCAGCACGGUUAGCAAUAACUGGUGGCGACCGGCGCACGGGUGCGUAACACGUAUACAAUCUACCUUAAACAGGGGGAUAGCCUUUCGAAAGAGAGAUUAAUACCCCGUAAUAAAUUGAACGGCAUCGUUUGAUUUUGAAAGCUCCGGCGGUUUGAGAUGAGUAUGCGUCUGAUUAGCUAGUUGGUGAGGUAACGGCUCACCAAGGCGACGAUCAGUAGGGGAUCUGAGAGGACUAACCCCCACACUGGUACUGAGACACGGACCAGACUCCUACGGGAGGCAGCAGUAAGGAAUAUUGGUCAAUGGAGGCAACUCUGAACCAGCCAUGGCCGCGUGCAGGAUGACGGCCCUAUGGGUUGAAACUGCUUUUAUACAAGAGAAAACCCUGGUACGUGUACCAGGUUGAUAGUAUUGUAAGAAUAAGCAUCGGCUAACUUCGUG
rnacentral:rRNA from 1 species